rnacentral:sRNA from 1 species
AACCGUUUGCGGUUCUAGUUCUUAUACUCAAUCAUACACAUGACAUCUAGUCAUAUUUGACUCCAAAAAACUAACCAAGAUCCUUAUUGCUUCUCAAAAAUUUGAUGGUGUAGCCGAAGUCCGUAUGCGUCUUUGGCUUUGUAUCUUCUAACAAGAAAACACUACUUUAGCUUUUGGGAACCAGUUGCAGUCCUAGCUGUUA